CGGAGAGUGACUCCAUUUCACGUGGGCGUGACUCGCACUACAACGAUUCUUGACAAAGAAAUCCAAGCUUUGAAUGUAUCUGUUCGACUGAAGCCGCCAUUUCAAAUCUAGGUCGGCUAUUAGAAACAGGGUAUAUAAUAUAGAUAUUUUUUUUAACGUUUUUAUUUUGUAGGCAUUUUUAUUUUAUUUAGAGUAAGGACCUCUAUUUAGCUUUGGCUUGUUUCUGGACGUCAAUAGCCCUCAACACUAGUGAGUCAGUGCACCAGUCUUCCCAGCCAGCUGACAAUCUCUCUACAAAGGUCCAGCUUUUACGCAACUAUCGACUGAAAGGGAUUCUGACUGGAGGCAGAGGUCUGAAGUUAGGAUCUCCCCUGAAGUUCACAAACAUCCCACCCAGAACAGAAUGUUCCCGUAAUGUACCCUAAAUGUUCUGCUUUGAUUUGAAAAUGAACUUUGUCAGCUGAGGCAGGCCUUAGUAUGGAUAAUUAGUAAUCAAAUAGCCUUCAAUAAAAGGCUUGUACUUUUUUUAAUUAGUUCACCUUUUCCUUUCUGAAGUUACCCAGAAUGCUCUUGUGCUGUAAUGUUUUCUGUACCAAAUCAGCCAGUAGUCUUUAGGCUAGAUCGAAGAGUGAAAUAUUUGUCAAUCUUUUUUGAUUACCUUAUAGCUGUAGGUAUCACUCAAUCUUCUCACUUUUCUUGUACAUUUUUCAUGACAGAAAAAUUUAGGUUUGCUCUUUUUUCCUCAUUAUUUAAUUCACAGAAAUCUGUUAUUUGCAGGGCUCAUCCCCAAAAGAAACCUUUGAUCUCAGCAUGACCCCCUCUGAUAAAAUAAAGGUUAAAUUAAUUUUUAUUUAACUCAAAUAUGAUUUGCCAGACAUAAAUGUGUAAUUGUGUUUUUACCCUCUGUUUUGUCCUUUUAGGGUUAUUUGUCUAAUUAAAAUGCACAUUUAGAUAAUUUAACAGGAUGUUGUUAUGGUCUGUAUUGUUUCAAAUAAUUCCAACCCAUUCUGCCAAAACUCCUGCAAAACACAAUUUAGUGCCAUAGAGUAAAAUAUUACUAUUGUAGUUGUUUCUUUGGUGAACGACUAACAUGACAAUGAGUUUAGGAUAAUUAUUCUUUUGUCAUAUGUAUGAUGUACAAG
ensembl:lncRNA